GUACACUCCUACGGGAGGCAGCAGUGGGGAAUAUUGCACAAUGGGCGCAAGCCUGAUGCAGCCAUGCCGCGUGUAUGAAGAAGGCCUUCGGGUUGUAAAGUACUUUCAGCGGGGAGGAAGGCGAUAAGGUUAAUAACCUUGUCGAUUGACGUUACCCGCAGAAGAAGCACCGGCUAACUCCGUGCCAGCAGCCGCGGUAAUACGGAGGGUGCAAGCGUUAAUCGGAAUUACUGGGCGUAAAGCGCACGCAGGCGGUCUGUCAAGUCGGAUGUGAAAUCCCCGGGCUCAACCUGGGAACUGCAUUCGAAACUGGCAGGCUAGAGUCUUGUAGAGGGGGGUAGAAUUCCAGGUGUAGCGGUGAAAUGCGUAGAGAUCUGGAGGAAUACCGGUGGCGAAGGCGGCCCCCUGGACAAAGACUGACGCUCAGGUGCGAAAGCGUGGGGAGCAAACAGGAUUAGAUACCCGAGUAGUCCC
rnacentral:rRNA from 1 species